ensembl:misc_RNA predicted gene, 24534
AGAUAUAAGGGUGACUGACUAGAAUAUCUUUCAUCCCAUUGUAGGCUGGGUUGAUUCAGCUGGCUUGGAUGGCUAGGUGGGUGGGGUGUCCUUGCCCUUUCUGCUCCAUCAGGUGUUCAUAAGUUGCAAAGAAUGCCAUUCCCUGAUAGAGGUUCUUUGGUUAAUGGAAUAAGAAUAGCUACUCCCUCCUGUUAGAAUUUCCACAUAAGCUUUCAAGAGAUUGUUUGAUAAAGACAAAAAUUGAAACAUAAAUCUUGGCAAAGAAAAAAGUAAAAGAUAUUUGUUUACUUU